rnacentral:rRNA from 1 species
GAGGAAUAUUGGGCAAUGCCCGCAAGGGUGACCCAGCAACGCCGCGUGGAGGAUGAAUGUCGUAAGAUUGUAAACUCCUGUUAGAGGGGAAGAAUAGUACCGGUUGGACCGGUAUAUGACUGUACCCUCAGAGAAAGCCCCGGCUAACUACGUGCAAGCAGCCGCGGUAAUACGUAGGGGGCAAGCGCUGUCCGGAUUUACUGGGUGUAAAGGGCGCGCAGGCGGGAUAAAAAGUCAGUGGUGAAAUCCUACAGCUUAACUGUAGAACUGCCUUUGNUACUUUUAUUCUUGAGUUCGGGAGAGGGAGACGGAAUUCCAGGUGUAGUGGUGAAAUACGUAGAUAUCUGGAAGAACACCAGUUGCGAAGGCGGUCUCUUGGUCCGACACUGACGCUGAGGCGCGAAAGCGUGGGGAGC